UACAAGCCAGCCCCCAAGGUCUCACCGCCGGCGUACAAGCCCGCCCCCAAGGUCUCACCUCCGGCGUACAAGCCUGUCCCCAAGCCCUCACCGCCGCCGUCGCCAACUCCGCCGGCGCCGAAGCCGACUCCACCGCCCUACAAGCCCCCGACGCCUACUCCUCCGGCGUACAAGCCUCCCACCCCGAGCCCCCCGCCUCCGCCGUACCACCACUAAGAAGAUCCACCACUGUCAAGCUGGGAG
rnacentral:lncRNA from 1 species